CAAUAGUGUAUAUUAAAGUUGUUGCAGUUAAAAAGCUCGUAGUUGGAUUUCUGGUUGAAGCGACCGGUCGGGCGUUGAUUCGUCUGCACUGGAGUCGGUUUUGGCCAUCCUCUAGGAAAGUGCGUCUGGUAUUAAGUUAUCGGGCGUAUGAUCCUGGUCUUUUACUGUGAAAAAAUUAGAGUGUUUAAAGCAGGCCUUCGCCUUGAAUACAUUAGCAUGGAAUAAUAAGAUAGGACUUUGGUCUAUUUUGUUGGUUUGCAGACCGAAGUAAUGAUUAAUAGGGAUAGUUGGGGGUAUUUAUAUUCCGAUGUCAGAGGUGAAAUUCUUAGAUUUUCGGAAGAUAAACUUAUGCGAAAGCAUUUACCAAGGAUGUUUUCAUUAA
rnacentral:rRNA from 1 species